UACGUAGGGUGCAAGCGUUAAUCGGAAUUACUGGGCGUAAAGCGUGCGCAGGCGGCUUUGCAAGACAGAUGCGAAAUCCCCGGGCUUAACCUGGGAAUGGCAUUUGGGACUGCAAGGCUCGAGUGCGGCAGAGGAGACUGGAAUUCCUGGUGUAGCAGUGAAAUGCGUAGAUAUCAGGAGGAACACCGAUGGCGAAGGCAGGUCUCUGGGCUGACACUGACGCUCAUGCACGAAAGCGUGGGGAGCAAACAGG
rnacentral:rRNA from 1 species